rnacentral:rRNA from 1 species
AGCAGCCGCGGUAAUUCCAGCUCCAAUAGCGUAUAUUAAAGUUGUUGCAGUUAAAAAGCUCGUAGUUGAAUUUCGAGAUCGGCUUACUGGUCGUGCUUUUGUACGUACUGGUAAAUCGGUUUCUCCUUUCUGACGAACUUUAAUGCCAUUAAUUUGGUGUUUUAGGGAAUCAGGACUGUUACUUUGAAAAAAUUAGAGUGUUUAAAGCAGGCUCACGCUUGAAUACAUUAGCAUGGAAUAACGGAAUAGGACGUUUGAUUUUAUUUUGUUGGUUUCUAGGAUCGACGUAAUGAUUAAUAGGGAUAGUUGGGGGCAUUAGUAUUCAAUUGUCAGAGGUGAAAUUCUUGGAUUUAUUGAAGACUAACUACUGCGAAAGCAUUUGCCAAGGAUGUUUUCAUUAAUCAAGAACGAAAGUUAGGGGAUCGAAGACGAUCAGAUACCGUCGUAGUCUUAACCAAUAAACGUAUGCCGACUAGGGAUCGGAUGAUGUUAAUUUUUUAAUGACUCAUUCGGCGCCUUA